rnacentral:rRNA from 1 species
UGAGGAAUAUUGGUCAAUGGGCGGAAGCCUGAACCAGCCAUCCCGCGUGCAGGAAGACGGCCCUAGAGGUUGUAAACUGCUUUUCUACAGGAAUAAUAAGGACUACGAGUAGUUCGAUGCCAGUACUGUAGGAAUAAGCAUCGGCUAACUCCGUGCCAGCAGCCGCGGUAAUACGGAGGAUGCAAGCGUUAUCCGGAUUUAUUAGGUUUAAAGGGUGCGUAGGCGGGACUUUAAGUCAGUGGUGAAAGGCAGUAGCUUAACUAUUGUAAGCCAUUGAUACUGGGGUUCUUGAGUUAGGUAGAGGUAGGCGGAAUGUGUUGUGUAGCGGUGAAAUGCUUAGAUAUAACACAGAACACCGAUUGCGAAGGCAGCUUACUAUGCCUAUACUGACGCUGAUGCACGAAAGCGUGGGGAUCAAACAG